CCUACGGGAGGCAGCAGUGGGGAAUAUUGGACAAUGGGGGGAACCCUGAUCCAGCCAUGCCGCGUGUGUGAAGAAGGCCCUCGGGUUGUAAAGCACUUUCAGUGAGGAAGAACGCCUGGUGGUUAAUACCCAUCAGGAAAGACAUCACUCACAGAAGAAGCACCGGCUAACUCCGUGCCAGCAGCCGCGGUAAUACGGAGGGUGCGAGCGUUAAUCGGAAUUACUGGGCGUAAAGCGCGCGUAGGUGGCUUGAUAAGCCGGUUGUGAAAGCCCCGGGCUCAACCUGGGAACGGCAUCCGGAACUGUCAAGCUAGAGGGCAGGAGAGGAAGGUAGAAUUCCCGGUGUAGCGGUGAAAUGCGUAGAGAUCGGGAGGAAUACCAGUGGCGAAGGCGGCCUUCUGGACUGACACUGACACUGAGGUGCGAAAGCGUGGGUAGCAAACAGGAAUAGAUACCCUGGUAGUC
rnacentral:rRNA from 1 species